rnacentral:snRNA from 18 species
GUACAUACCUGGGCGGAUUCCUUGGAGCUCAUGCAGUCCAAGGUUUAGAAGGGAGGUGUUCGCCAUUCGCACUGAGGCUUACGAUCCCUUUUACACAUCGACAAAUGUCUUUGUGUGCGUCUGAAUUCGUUUGAUACGGUGCUUCGGCACCUCUCAAU